rnacentral:lncRNA from 1 species
AAAAAUGAUGAAAAUGCUCCUGUGAGCUAGAAAACAAUAUGUUAUGUUCUGAUUUGAAAAUGAUUUGUAAUCCUUCGAAUUUUGAUAUUUGAUAACUAUUGCUCACUGGGGAAGUGCAAAAGUUGAUACGAGAGCCUUGCGAGGUUUCGAUCAACAUUCGGGGUGAAGAAUGUUUGUCGAGGCCUCGCCACGGUUGUCACGG